rnacentral:rRNA from 1 species
CGGACGGGUGAGUAACGCGUGGAAAACCUGCCGUAUACUGGGGGAUAACACUUAGAAAUAGGUGCUAAUACCGCAUAAGCGCACAGACCCGCAUGGGACAGUGUGGAAAACAAAAAGCUAAAGCUUUUUAUGGUAUACGAUGGUUCCGCGUCUGAUUAGCUUGUUGGCGGGGUAACGGCCCACCAAGGCGACGAUCAGUAGCCGGCCUGAGAGGGUGAACGGCCACAUUGGGACUGAGACACGGCCCAGACUCCUACGGGAGGCAGCAG